rnacentral:rRNA from 3 species
UUUUGACCUCGGAUCAGGUAGGGAUACCCGCUGAACUUAAG